UACGUAGGGUGCGAGCGUUGUCCGGAAUUAUUGGGCGUAAAGGGCUCGUAGGCGGUUUGUCGCGUCGGGAGUGAAAACCAUGGGCUUAACUCAUGGCUUGCUUCCGAUACGGGCAGACUAGAGGUAUGCAGGGGAGAACGGAAUUCCUGGUGUAGCGGUGAAAUGCGCAGAUAUCAGGAGGAACACCGGUGGCGAAGGCGGGUCUCUGGGCCGAUACUGACGCUCAGGAGCGAAAGCGUGGGGAGCGAACAGG
rnacentral:rRNA from 1 species